rnacentral:rRNA from 1 species
AUGCAAGUCGAGCGAAGUGGAGGAAGCUUGCUUCCAAAGCUUAGCGGCGGACGGGUGAGUAACACGUGGGCAAUCUGGCUGUAGGACAGGGAUAACCCCGGGAAACCGGAGCUAAUACCGGAUAGAGGUAAAGAUCGCAUGAACUUUACCGGAAAGAUGGCGCAAGCUAUCACCUGCAGAUGAGCCCGCGGCGCAUUAGCUAGUUGGUGGGGUAACGGCCUACCAAGGCGACGAUGCGUAGCCGACCUGAGAGGGUGAUCGGCCACACUGGGACUGAGACACGGCCCAGACUCCUACGGGAGGCAGCAGUAGGGAAUCUUCCGCAAUGGACGAAAGUCUGACGGAGCAACGCCGCGUGAGUGAUGAAGGUUUUCGGAUUGUAAAACUCUGUCAUUAGGGAAGAACGGCUAUGGUUUAAAGAAGGCCAUAGAGUGACGGUACCUAAAGAGGAAGCCCCGGCUAACUACGUGCCAGCAGCCGCGGUAAUACGUAGGGGGCAAGCGUUGUCCGGAAUUAUUGGGCGUAAAGCGCGCGCAGGCGGUUCUUUAAGUCUGAUGUGAAAGCCCACGGCUCAACCGUGGAGGGUCAUUGGAAACUGGAGGACUUGAGUGCAGGAGAGGAAAGUGGAAUUCCACGUGUAGCGGUGAAAUGCGUAGAGAUGUGGAGGAACACCAGUGGCGAAGGCGACUUUCUGGCCUGCAACUGACGCUGAGGCGCGAAAGCGUGGGGGAGCAAACAGGAU